UAACACAAAACCAAACUAAUCCUUACAAGAUCAAACCAGAUAAAAAAUAAAUAUCUUGUGUUAU
rnacentral:tRNA from 1 species